UAGAACUGAGCAGUGCCCAGGCCUACCCAGGACCCCUUCUCUCAGAUACAACAGUUAGAGGGUCCCCAUUUCUUACCUGGGUGCAGACUAGCUAAGGCUUCUGCCAAGGCAGACUGGAGGGGCCUGGGCAGAAUGCUCCAGAUUAGGAUGUGAGACCCUGGAUGCUCUUUAGUAGAAAGUCCUCAUUGGGUGCUUUGGUCCCACUCCUUACAACUCUGUGUCCUGUUAAAAGAGACCUGAGGUUUGGUGAGGAUUCAGACCCCAGCUCACCUUCUGGGUAACCUUUCUGAAUCCCUUUCUCUGCGUCUCCCGCAGCCCUCCCCAGUCUUCCCUGUAGGGGCUUCUGCCUGGGAAUCAGUCCACAUGCUCUCCAACAAGUUUAGAGCUGACCAUGGAAAAUAACAACUCUGCUUCGAGGAAAUAAGAAUUGAUUCUGAGCCAAACAUGAGUGACCAUGCCCUGGGAACUCAAAUUCAAGUUACCUGGAAAAGACAUGUUUUGUUGUUGCUUUUGUGAAGAAGGUUACUUAAGCUUGUAUAGUCCCCAAAGUAAGUGGGGUCUUCAAAUAGUCUACAAUAAGGGGAAAUCCAUAAUUCUCAGAUGUUGUUUUCAAUAAGGCUGGGAAGUCGACAGGAUUCUGGUGCUGACUCAUCCCAGCCUUAAGGUUGGGAGAGGCCAGAAGUCUGUCAAGCAGAGUAUCCAUUUAUCUAGUGGUCACAGAAAUGCUCAGUCAGGCACAGAGGUAGACAAAAUGGUUGUGAAAAGGAACCAGAGAUAAUCCAGUACAACCCUUUCUACUGCCCCUCUCCACAAGGUCUCUGAUGCUCAAAUCCGCCCGGUUCAAACAGCCUGGAAACUCCCAAAUACAAACUCAGGCUCAAUGAAGAAAUUCAGGUUGCAGAUCCCCCUGUUGGCUAGGCCAUACAUUCUGUGCACACUGAGGCCAAUGGUUGUUUUAGGACCCACAAAGUUAGAAGUCUCAUUCCCAAGAUCUCUUAAGGACGAACCUGAAUAACCAGACAAACUUCAGGACAGACAUAGUCAUUAAAGCCAUAGAGAAAGAAAUCCCCCGCUCGAGUUGAUGUUGUCAGGUGUCGUGAUCUGGUCUGGGCUUUCCUCUUUUUCUAUCCUUUGCAUCUGAUGCAACAUUUACAUGCAACAUACAAUAAAAAACACAGUCUGACCUGCAGAAGAAAAGGUAACAGAUGAGGGAAAUAACCAACCAUAAAACCCUCCCCACAAGUCGCCUACUCUUUAGUCACACUAUCAUUAGUCUCCCCGAUGUAUCUACAGUCAUCUGGAUUCUGUGACAUAUUUUAUUUGAUGUAGUGAGUAUCUAGAAUAAUCCAUUAUCUUCCAAUUCUAAUUUUUCUUCUGGUCAACUGGACUCCAUAGCUAUUACCUCAGAUGGAAC
rnacentral:lncRNA from 1 species